GAAUGGAUUCAUACAAUACAUAUGCAGUUCAGUCAGACAACUCACAAUUGAAAUGUUUAUUAUAACAGCAGAACAUUGUGUUUGGCGGCCAGACUCCAACCUCAUCACUCCACGCAGUUUGGGUUUACAUGAGCUAUUUGGGAGUGAUAAUAAAGUAGCUUCCGCCUGGCCGGAGCCUGCAGGUGGAUGCUGGGGUGGUGGUGGGGCUAACAGCAGGCAGCGAUACAGGUGCAGGGCAGCAGUAGCAUUGACAAGGAAGAGAUGGGGAAAUUGUACAGCUUAAAUAGACCGCCAGAUUGAGGGGGUGUGUUUGGUAAAUGAUACGGGGAGUGAGGCAUGUCACGUGUGUGUACAGCGGUGCAGCUCGAGUUGGCUGCCUGAACUAGCUCGCAGGCGUCGCCCCAUUAGUACUCCCCAACACCUGCAAUCUUCUUUUGCGUAAACCGAAGCAGCCUCAGAAGCAUCUCAUAUUAUAGUUACAGAUGUAUAAUCUAUUUUUUGAUGCUCACAUUUUUACAUGAUUCAAGACCUGACAUAGAAAUGUAAUUGAGUAAAGAAACAAACUGAUAAACUAUACUGUGGGACUGGGUGAUAAUUCAAUAUUAUUAAUUCAUCGUCUCAGAUCUCUGACAUGAAUAUGAAUAUCUUAAAAUAUUCUUAGCAA